GUGACGUGAUUUCGCAAGCAGUAGUUAGCAUUGCACUAGUUCUAGUUUUAGUCCUAGCUUGUUGAGAUAGUUAUAUGGGAGCGAGUCCUUGUGACUGGUCUUCCGCCUCGAUGCCAAUACACGCGCAGAUAUAAUUUAGAAGAACAUACUUAGCGUGCAAUUUUGACUUUGAAAAUUUAAAGCAGAAAAUGAUCUUUAUUGUGGAGUUUGCGUUUUACAACGUUAUGAGCUAAAAACUUAUAAAAUUAAAGUAUGACCUUUCCAUUUGUAGUGCCCUGAUGCUAUGACACUAAAAUAUUCUGAUAGUUUUUCUGUAUGGCUACGGGAAAUCUCGAGUAUAUUUUGCGAAUUGGAUCUACGUUUAUGUGUGACCUGCGCUGAUCUGCUUGUUAUGAUUAAUAUAACAUAUCUUCCAUUGUGUUUAUGCAUAACGCUCAUCUUCAUUGUAUAUUGGUUAAAGGUCAGAAUGCCGAUUUUGAAGUGCCGCAGAACUGAGCAAUACUCGCGCUGUGUGUUCAUUACCGAACACUGAAUAUGUGUGCGAAAUAUCUUGCUCCAACUGUUCGUAGUUUUUUAGAGAACAGUUUUUUUAUUUCCCACGCCCGGCCGUCAGACCGUCGGCAAACCCUGCGCACGGGCGCACCGACGUCACUGCUCUCGGUUUAUCUGUCUUUGGCUUGGCAUGGACUCUUGGCUUGGCCGCUUGACUGCUUUCGUUUCGUCCUCUGUGCCCUCAGUGCCCUCUACUACUAUACUAGUAUAGAGUAGGUCGUGCUCUGUGCGCUCUGUGCAUCGUACAUAAGCGAACAGCUGUUAUGUUGUUGCUAAGCCGGAAACAAAGCAUGUGAAUAUUUUUUUUUGGCACGGCGUCGUUUGGAAGGUGUACUUCCUUGUUCUGACCUUGCCUUUUAUGGGCUGGAGCGAUAUGAUACGUGAUAUGCCACGGCGAAGUUGUCGAAGAUGCGACGGUGCUACGCUGUUAGAACAAUGCAUCGGAACAUUCAAGUGUUACCUAUUAUAAGCUUCCAAAAGACCAAGCAGUGCGAAGCUCUUGGCUGACAGUGGUGCCUGCUAAUUUCCACUGCAAGGAUUUUUCGUCCACGAAUGUUAUCAUAGGUUACGCGCGACUCCAGAGGCAAUUUGGAAUCUCGACACGAAAUCGUCUGAUGAAAAUCUGAGGUGCCCGACGCACAACAUUUUGAACGUGCCACGGAGGAUCAAGGCAAAAAACGAGAGCAAAAAAGGUAAGUCGAGGUUCAGAUAUAAAAAAUAGCAAGCUUAAUGAAUCAAUUGUGCAGCUGUCCUACUGCGCUUACUCUGAUAUAACCACGACUAACAACACAAUAGUAUUGAUAAUCUAACUUCUGAAUUAUCACAGGUGCACGCUGAAGGCGGAAAUGAAGCAUGAUCUGGCUUGCAUCUGGUGCAUGAAGAAAUUGAUGACACAUUAGUUGCAGUCGACCUCCACCAACAGGUAUGACAAUGUGAUGUUAUAAUUUGAGUAUUCACCUAUGUUCAACUUUUCAUGUGCACUCGCAUGCAGACAUCUUGACACCACUUUUAAAUCUGCCUUCAAAGUUACAACCUGUGCUUUCAGGGUGGAAAACAAAGGUCGCCAUUCCGAUUAGCUGUCUGGACACUGGUUCCUGUGGAUGGGCUGUUACAAGCUUCACUGUCUGAUAUAGAAGUGAUGAGCAUCCAUAAGGACACAUGCCAGAAAGGGAGUCUCUUUGGGAUGACAAACCCUCAUCACCUCAUGAGGACACAAUGGUUGACGAAUGGUUCUCAAGCACAUCGAAACUUCAACAAAUAAUUCAUGAAAAAGCGAGUCAGUGCUAGCACCAGGAAUUGAACAUGGACCGUCCCGCAACCAGUCAGAGAUGUUACAUUUCAGGCGCUCAUUGACUUUUGGUGAAUUACUUGUUGACUUUGUCCCAAGGUGGAACUCGCCACAGCUCAUUUGUCUAUCUGUUAAUGUUGUGGCGUGUGUUGCGUUUUUCUCUUUGUGUGUUCCAGACUCAGAACGGUUAAUUUGGAUCAGGUCAGGUACGUUUUAUUUAGACAUGGCAAACAUAAAGUGGUGUUUCUCAACACAACUUAGCAGUGACCUUCAUGCAUUACUGCUACGGCCAUUAAGCGUGAAUCGAAAGCUGCACAGUAUGCAUGAUGUAAAACCCCAAGACUAGGGAACAGGAAGGGACAGACACAAACACGUCCCUUUGUGUUCCCUAGUCUCGGGGUUUUACAUAUGCAUCAUCUUGACCAGCUCGCCUGCUUCCUAGCCAUUUUUUCUGCACAUUAUGCUCACUCUACUUUUAUCGUGGGCUAUAUAAUCUUGUUCAAGUUCUGUCAAACGACGUGUAAUGCUAUAAAAAAAUUCAGUACACUGUUUAUGUGGGUUGAAUGGUAGCGCAUGAAUGCAGGAAGGAAACUGUCAUUUUAUGGCAAGUGUUUACGUAUUGUGCGUUUAACUACUAAUUUUAUUGGUUAGCUUUCGCCGGCGUAUCAUGUCAAGCCAUGUUAUAUUAAUUUGGAACAUGUUCUUCUUAGUAGCCAGAGCAGCUGAUACCCAGUGAGAACAUAGCCCGUGUGUGUUUGUCUUUUCCACCGCAGCCCUUUUGUUUCCUCCCUGAUUGCUACACAUGUCAGGGAUAGGUUUCAGAACCGGUAGUUCCGGCCAAGUGUGAAUUGCUUUUCAGGGGAUCAUCACGCUGGCAGAUGAAACAUAUGGUUUAAAUUAUAUUGUAUUAUAUAUGUUAUAUAUUAUUUGCAGGACAGGAAUUGCGUAGCUUCACAUAAAUACUACUACUACGACGUAAGAGUAGUUUUAAAUCUAACUUUUUUAUGUUCAAAAGGGGAAAAAAUUAAUAAAACACUGUCAAGGAGCCCGCGAAGAGGGAAUCACACACGUAACAUGAAAAACGGUUAGGAGCAACUAAUAUUUAUUCGUUUUUCAUGUUACGUGUGUUUUUUAUGUUCCUGACAUUAUCGCACAAGAUGUAGUAUCCACUAUGAUCCUUUAUAUGGGGGUAUGUACAGUGCAGUCAACAGAUGCUGUUUACAAAUCUGUGCUUUCUACUGUGUUGAAAUGGGGUAGUUUGUAUCUGAGAGCCAUAGUGAAACACAGGCAGCCAAGGACAGACUUUUGAUGCCCUCGAGAAAACAUGGCAACACAUUGCAGGGACUCUGGAUGCUGCCUAAAUUUCCAGAACACACAGCUCAAGGCAAUAACAAGUAAAUAAAUAACACGUGGGUAGAGAAAUCCAAGACAGUUGCAUGUGUAAGCAGUCCGCUGUUGGAUUUGCUUCUGUCCGAGGUACGUUAUCUCAAAGGGAACGCACGGACACCCUCAGAAUGAUACUAGGGCUGCUUGUGAAAUAGAAUGAGGAGAGGGGAAGAUAUAUAACCCUUUUUUCUUGUCUGUUAUUCUAUUGGUUAAAUUGUCAUUUGCUUAGCAGCAUAUAUGUGUAUAUUCCAGAGUCUGCUAAUAAAUAUAUCAGUUUAGAGCUAGCAGUCGCAUUGGAGAUGUCUCAUCCUGUCCUUGGCUGCUUGUGUUUCACUGUGACAUUGCUUGCUAUUGCAAAAACAGAAAACAAAAAAGACAAUAGAAAAACACGAAAAGAGCGACCUAAAAAGCUGCCUGUUCUGGUGCUCACAUGGAGGCAAUGCAAUGAGGUAACGUGCUCCAUUCAUGAACUGUGCAUAGUAGUACAUAUCACAACGGCAACGAUUAUUCAGAUUUUUUCUUGAAGUACUUUGUUUUUUUUCAGCUUUGUUUGCAGAGUCUAUUAUUGGAACUUUAUGUGAUUCCCCUCUUGAGAUACUUUAAGAUUGCUGAUGCUGUGCAGUUAAUUUUGAAACUGUACUGUGCUGAGGUACAAAAAGAGAAUUGUCAUACCUGCAUUUGAGCACAUAGGAAUAAUGUGUAAGUACUUUCCUUGUUGACAUUAAUAUUUGCACCAGGUCACAACAUUGUUGAUUGAUGUAAAAUGUAAAUAAAUAUAUUUAUUUGCUUGCCAAACAAUGCACAAAUGUCUUCUUUUCUAGUGAGAUAUUCCCUGUUCACCAGACAUAAAUGUGGAAAAGUUAAAGGGGCACAAUGAUGGUAGAGUCUAGCAUUGCUUUUUCCCACUUCACAUAUAUUCACUGUUAUUCGUGUGCACAUGUAGGAAUAGGAAGGUAGAGCAUGCGCAUAAAAAAUUUCGUAUGCAGCCACACAUAUGGUUCAGAAGAUUAAUUAGAUGAUGUCCAAGCAUAUAUAAUUGUGCUUCAUAUGCAAUGGAUAUGCUAACGGAUUGCUUCCAUGUAGCCUUUUUAUUUACUUUUUUUAUAAAUUCUUUUUAUAAAUGAUAUUUUUUAUUUGAUAUAAAUUUCAUAUUACAUAUUGUAUACUUAUAUUUUUAUAAAUUUUAUAAAUUAAAAACUCAAAUUACACGGCCCCUGUAAGAGUGCCCUUUGCAAAUGGUUUGGUAACGUGUCUCUAACUGUAAAGGUAAGAGGCAAUCGAGAAUGCUGCAGACAGGGUUGCAACUUACAUAUUGCUUAUCAUGUCCUACAUACAAAGUGAUUUGUACAAUAAUUCCUGAGGACGGAAUUAAUUCCGAGGCUGGCCAGUGAUGUCACCCAGGACGACAAAUCACAUGAUUGCCUCUAACACUUUUACACCUCAUGGGCUGAGUUGUGAAUUGAAAGAGCACUCUACAGAAGGAUGAGGCGCACCUGAUUUCUAGGAUCUAUGCUAUGCCCUAACUCUUCAGGCACUACCUUUCUAAAAACACCAUUUCUAAGUGGCAAUAUGUGCUCUGGUACUUCUUUUGCGUCUGCAUAGUGUGUAACCACAUGGCUACUGGAGCUUUCGUGUGCAUCUUUUUGUGCGACGGUGCUCAUUACAAACAAUAUCCAGAUGUUAGACAUAAAAUGCAGUAGUUUGUAGCGUGCCACACAAUGCAGCGUGACAUGGGAGUGUGUGAUUCAAAGAAAGCUUCUGGAAAAUGCACAGAAUCCCACAAAAAGUUUAAAAUGUGAUUGGUAUUUCGUUUUACGUCUCUCGUCGUUACAUACCAUCGUCGACGCUGUUGCGCAUUGAUAAAUCGUACGUAAAACUUGUCCCAUAGCAGUAUGCGGUUUCUCAAAUACAUAGCACAAUUUUUUCCUGCAGGAAUAAAACGCUGUCGGCAUUUUCUUGCUAACACGGCUGUCGAAACGUCAGUCUCUACAAUGGGCAAGUGCUGUAAAGGGGCUAACGCAGACGCGACUUGAUACAAAUUGUACGUGCUCACAAAACACAAAUGACGAAUUCCAGUCACAACAUCGCACAGAGGUUGGCUCGCGAAUGAGUUCGCAGCUGCUGCACUGUUUACUUAUCGCAGAACGGUGAAACCCGGCUGUCCGCCAUCUUCAAGCAUAGAUACGUGAAGUCGCGAGAAGCCGUAGCUGAAAUCCACUGGAAAGUACGAAGGCGCGUACACGUCACAAUGCCCGUUCGUCAGCUACGUGAUAAAAAUGGCUGCGCCCAUGUGUGUUUCGGAAUGAAUUAUCUAUUUUUUUUACAUGGUACUGCACCGAACUGAGAGAAUGAAGAUGCAUUUUGGGGAGAGCUGGAUGUGGGCUUUCAGAAUAUCCCAACCGUUUCGACUAUUUUGGAUAUCGGCAUAGCUGACCUUUAAGCAUUUCUGAUGGCGGUAGUGUGAUCCGCUUCUCCCAAAAUCUGAUUGCCACUUGGAAAUUAUUUCAUAGACGUUUGUGUGCCGUGUGUUACGACGAUUACGUGACUCGAAAUGCAGGCUUCGCCUGCACAUCAUGCUUGUAAAAUCCUCCAAUUGCAUCGCGGCAUUUGAUAAUAGAUUCGCUUUUGCGCGAAGGCUUCGUAUUAUCUCGCAGGCACUGAACUCACAGGCGUUCUUGUCGGCCGUGUUCCGUGGUCUUCCAGGGUCUCUGCUGUUCGCAAUUAAUUACAUACAUCUAUUGGCACCCGUCUUCAACAAAUCAGGGCAGGUAUCAUUAGAGCUGGUUGUUUGCUAGAAGCGUGCUAUGUGGUGAAGUUCAUUUUUAACAUUUCUAUUUUAUGUGUGUGUGUUGGAUGCAUAAAACAAGGCUAGGUUUGUAGUGUCUCUUAGAAUGAAAACUGUAUAGUGUUCGAUUAGAUUAUGUCACGAGGAUGAUUUUAUGACAGAUAAUAUGAUAGAUUAUUCUUCUCUGUUCUUUUGAUGAAGAAUAUCUUCUUUGAUUAAAUGUUGUGUUAUGGAUUUUA